GCGGGCGUGGUGGAAUUGGCAGACACGCUGGACUUAGGAUCCAGUGCCGCAAGGCGUGGAGGUUCGACCCCUCUCGUCCGCACCA
rnacentral:tRNA from 2 species